CCUUCCAGAGGCAGAGCAGGCUAACCUGAGUGGAAGAAUCAGUCUGUGUAAUGAGGAUAUAAGUUGGGUCUGCAGUGUCUAAAGCCAGGCACACAGGAACUGAAAGCAGGGCCCUUGGUGCCAGCAUCACUACCUCAUCUUUUGAUCCAGACACAGGAUGGAAGUCUCAGGGAAGAGUGUUCCUUUUAACCAAAACAUUAUUUUCAUUUUAAAUUCUGUCUCUAUGUCUAUGUCUCUGUCUCUGUCUCUCUCUCGCUUACAGAUCCUCUGCAAUUCAAUCUUAACACCAAGCCUACUGUCCAGCCUAGGAGAAAAUGUUCUGAGAGACAGAGCUGCUGGGUGCUAGGGCAGGUGUUUGAAGGAUUCUUUGCUGUACUGUGGGUACCUGUCUCAGGGGCCUAAAUGACAAGUGACACUCCUUUGGGACCUUCACCAGACCCUUCAUAUCAUUACCAGUAAGGUGCGUCUACAGGAACCCAGGACACUUGUACAUUCCUACAACAUCAGUAUCUUCAAGAAAUCUCUAUUCUGACAAAAUUCUGCACGUGGCCUUAACAAUUUGAUAAAAGUUAUUGCUGAGUCCUUGCCAGUGUCUGACAGCAUUGUCCCAGGCCCAGUGGAGCUCGCUUGUCAUCUCAGUGCUGGGAAGCAGAGGCAGGUAGAUUCCUGGCACUGCCUUGUCAGCAAGGUCCAUGCCCCAGUGAGACUCUAAAAAGGCAGAUGGUACCUGAGGAACUACAUCAAAUGUUGGCUUAUGGCUUCUACAGGUAUGCACACAAAUACAUAUGCAUACAUCUGUACACACAUGUGACUGUUAUUUGCUGGUCUGAACACACACACACACACACACACAUACACAUACACACACUCACACCUAAUUAAAACCAUCAAAAAUCCCCAAAUGACCGAACUUAGACUAACUAGUUUCUAAGAUUCCAUGAGGUCAACAUCCCCAUCUUAAAAGCAUGCAGGCCUCUAGAGGCAGAUCACAGGGAUAGAGCACAUACAUCCUGGCCUAUCAGCACACUCCUCAGCAUCCCAGCUAUGCUGACACCAUGAACAAAAGGUGGCAUGAUCUGCCACUGGCUUAUGCUUAGACCAGGGUUCAAGGGCUCUUUGGUAUCUUUAUUUUGGAGGAAUCAGUUGCCUGUACCCAGAGCUCACUCUUGGGUUGCUUGGGUUUGGAGUCACCACUCUGGGUGCAGUGUAUAUGUGGGUGAGCAGCACAUCUGUCCACAGACCUGUCUUUCCUAGCUCAAAGGAGCUGACAUGUGAAGUAGGUAUUGCUAUUUAAAGCUGAGCAAUAAGGUCUCUCUCUCUCUCUCUCUCUCUCUCUCUCUCUCUCUCUCUCUCUCUCUCUCUCUCUCUCUCUCCCCUCUCUCUUUCUCUCUGUGUGUGUGUGUGUUUAGGUGUAUGUUCAGACCAGAGGAUGACCAUGUUACCCACCUUCCAUGAGAUAGAGUCUCUCAUUGGCCAAAAGGCCACUAAUUAAACUAGACUUCCUGGCCUAUAAUCUCCAGGGCUCUAUCUUUUCUCCACCUUUAUAGUUUUAGGAUUAUAAAUACUCAGUGCCAAGCCCAGACCAGAAUUUUUACAUAGGGGCUAGGCCAUCCCUCCAACCCCAGAUGCAUUUCAUUUUAAUCGGAAACACAGUGAAAGGUGUUUGAGUAGGCUGGAAACCUGGUGUGUGAGGGUUAUUGAAAGGAGCUGGGACUCCAUAGAGAUCCCCUGCAAAUUCAAACUGGGAGAUUAGGCAGUGGGCAAAAUGUAGGGUCAAGUUCUAGAGGGAAAGGGGAUGAGAAGAUUCAUCCUGAGGCAGAGUUGAAGUCAGUUACUUCUGUGAACACCUGCUCCAGGCUUAUGAUCUGCACUUGAUUUUCUCCUCUGACCCAUAGUAGCUCUAAGAAUAAAGAAUGGGCUCCUGGGACCACACACAGCACUGUAGCUCAAAUGUGCUCCACCUGUUCAGUUGCUGUGAAUGUGACACCAGCGCAAAAUGGGACAAUUAAGAGGCAUCCCUUUAAUGUCAUCGGCGGGAUUAGGACUUAACAGAGGGAGUUCAUGCCUUAUACCAUGUGAGGACACAACUUUUAGUUCCUCCUCUCAGGAGAACACAAAUUCAAAGCACCAUCUUGGAGGUAGAGAUAAUAACCUAUUAGCAAUAAAUUCACUAAUGCCUUGAUGUUAGACUUACCAGGCUUCAGAGCCAUGAGAAAACACAUUUUUGCUCUUGGGUAUUCAGAUACAGUUGCAUAAGACAGAGAGAAACUUUAAUCAGCUUGGGUGUGUUUUCAUGUGCUGCUUCCUGAGAGAACGAUGGCCUAUGAAUCCCAGACCUCUGUAUAUGCUCAACAGGGAUCUGUGUUUAGCUGCCUGUCUCCCACAUGGGUGUCUGAACAUGCAGGGUUGGGAGCUUGGUCAGAAGCAGUUUUUGCUUUCCAGUUGAAUUUAAAAUUGUGUUUAAGAUAUAUUGAAUAUAACAUUUGCCAUUUUCAUCGUUUUGAGUAUGUAUUUCAGUCGUCUGCUGUUCAC
rnacentral:lncRNA from 1 species